rnacentral:rRNA from 1 species
GUCUUUAUGAAUUUUAUGUAAAGUCUAGCCUGCCCAGUGAUAAUUGAAUUUAACGGCCGCGGUAGCAUGACCGUGCUAAGGUAGCAUAAUCAUUUGUCCUUUAAUUGAGGACUGGUAUAAACGGUUGCACAAGAAAUUGUCUGUCUCUACUAUAAAAUUUGAAAUUCACAUUUAAGUGAAAAGGCUUAAAUGGAAUAGGGGGACGAUAAGACCCUAUAAAUCUUUACAAUUAGGGCCUUAGUUAUUAGAAAGUAGUUAUGGAUCUAAAUCUAAGGUUUAAAUUGUUUUGUUGGGGCGACAGAAGUAUAAUAAGUAACUGCUUUGGUUUUCAUAUUAAUUGUUUUUAUUAUGGUUAGUUUAAAAGAUCCUCUUUUGGAGAUCACAGACUAAGUUACUUUAGGGAUAACAGCGUAAUCUUUCUUGAGAGUUCAUAUCGAAAGAAGGGUUUGCGACCUCGAUGUUGAAUUAAAGAACCUUUAUGGUGUAGCCGCUAUAAGAGGAGGUCUGUUCGACCUUUAAAUC